AGAUGGAGUUUUGCUCUUGUUGCCCAGCCUGAAGUGCAACGGCACCAUCUCUGCUCACUGCAACCUCUGCCUCCUGGGUUCAAGCAAUUCUCCUGCCUCAGCCUUCUGGGUAGCUGGGAUUACAACCGCAGAAGCAAGGUGACGAAGGCAACAUCAUCAUUUGGAAAGUGUCGCAAUAAGAUGCACAUGUGCCACCGCUGUGGCUCUAAGGCCUACCACCCUCAGAAGUCGGCCUGUGGCAAAUGUGGCUACCCCGCCAAGUGCAAGAGAAAGUAUAACUGCAGUGCCAAGGUUAAGACGAAAUACCACCAGGACUGGUCGAAUGAGGCACCUAAAAACUGUAUACAGCAGAUACAGGCAUGGUUUCCAUGAAGGAACACCACCUAAACCCAAGAGGGCGGCUGCUGCCGCAUCCAGUUCAUCUUAGGAAUUUCAAUGGUUAGUCAUGCAAUACAUGUUCUGAUUUAAAAAAAAAAAGAACUUUAUGAAUACUGAAGUUUGAACUUUACAUAAUUUAUACAUGUCACCAUAUAGUACUCUUUUGGCUUUUUUCAAUCCUUAAAAAGAAUGUAAAAACCAUCUUAGCCUGCAGGCUGUACAAGGACAGAUGACACGCUGGUGUUGGUUUGAAGGCCAGGCUACAGUAGUUUGCUAAUCCCUGCUGUAGAGGAAGCAUCGGAACUGAUAACAUUAUGGUGUUAAAUAAUUCCUAGAAUUUUUACGAACAAUAUUAACAGAAGAGUACAUAUAUCAACAACCAUUAAUACAGUGAUGAUUGUGCUUAUUUGCAACUGGUUAUACAACAUACAUCCCCACACUAUGUUGUCAAAGAGAAAAGCAUACCAGUUUUGCU